rnacentral:piRNA from 1 species
UGGCAAGAAGAGACCCUCAGAAAGGAGGAAC